rnacentral:rRNA from 1 species
UUUUCUGCCACCGAAUACAUUAGCAUGGGAUAAUGGAAUAGGACCCUGUCCUCCUAUUUUCAGUUGGUUUUGGCAGCGCGAGGACUAGGGUAAUGAUUAAUAGGGAUAGUUGGGGGCAUUAAUAUUUAAUUGUCAGAGGUGAAAUUCUUGGAUUUAUGAAAGAUUAACUUCUGCGAAAGCAUCUGCCAAGGAUGUUUUCAUUAAUCAAGAACGAAAGUUAGGGGAUCGAAGACGAUCAGAUACCGUCGUAGUCUUAACCAUAAACGAUGCCGACCAGCGAUUAGGAGACGUUGAAUACAAAACACCACCAUCGGCGCGGUCGUCCUUGGCGUGUCUCGGCUUCACGGCCGGGGCGCGCGAGGGCGGUUUAGCCCGGUGGCACCGGUGAAUGACUCCCCUAGCAGCUUGUGAGA